rnacentral:rRNA from 1 species
GUGCCAGCAGCCGCGGUAAUACGGAGGGAGCGAGCGUUGUCCGGAAUUACUGGGUGUAAAGGGAGCGUAGGCGGGGAUGCAAGUUGGGUGUCAAAACUACCGGCUCAACUGGUAGUCGCACUCUAAACUGCAUCUCUUGAGUGAAGUAGAGGCAGGCGGAAUUCCUAGUGAAGCGGUGAAAUGCGUAUAUAUUAGGAGGAACACCAGUGGCGAAGGCGGCCUGCUGGGUUUUUACUGGCGCUGAGGAUCGAAAGUGUGGGGAGCAAACAGGAUUAGAUACCCUGGUACUCCACACCGUAAACGAUGAUUACUAGGUGGGGGGGGUCUGACCCCUUUCGUGCCGGAGUUAACACAAUAAGUAAUCCACCUGGGGAGUACGGCCGCAAGGUUGAAACUCAAAGGAAUUGACGGGGGCCCGCACAAGCAGUGGAGUAUGUGGUUUUAUUCUAAGCAACGCGAACAACCUUACCAGGUCUUGACAUCGUGCGCAUAGCUCAGAGAUGAGUGACCCCCUGCGGGGCGCAUAGACAGGGUGAUGCAUGGUUGUCGUCACCCUCGUGUGGAGAGUAGGUUGGGUUAAGUCCCGCAACGAGCGCAACCCUUGUAUUUUAUUUGCUACGCAAGAGCACUCUUAGAUAGCCUGGCAGUUGAAAAAACGGAGG